AAAUGGACCAAAAAGAGACAAUAGAAAAAACUGUCACUGUCAAUGGCAAAUGUCAGAAAAUGAUGGUAACUAGUCUGGCCCUAAUUCAGGUUUUUUAUUUUUUUAAUGUAACCCAGUGCGGGAUCAGUCCGCGGCAGCUUCCAGCAUGCGCCAUUCAUUUGCAGUCUGGAUGCAGAGGGGUGAACAUCUCCUGCUCUGACUGCAUCUGGGAGGGACCGCUGCGCGAGGACUGUGGGUGCUUUGGGACGGGGGUGGGGCCCACGGCAGCACCAGCUCCUCGUUGAGAAGAUCUAGUAGGUGGCGGUAAUGCAACAAAUUGGAUGCAAACCGCCGUUAAACCUCAGAAGAAGAAGAAAUUGUGCCUUUGCACACGUUCUGAACGUCUGUGUAGUAACAGGUACGUUUCAUGUGUCUGAAAGUACCACAUUGUAGCACAUUGAGUUUGACUUCCGGCCUGUUGCGAUGAAUCGCUUUCCCAGGAAUCUCCAAAUACUAUGUUGAAUGAGCACCGCGGAUGAAAGAGGGGGAGGAAAACAGAAAGCUUCUUUCUACCACAACC